UCGCUUUUCGGGCGCGUUGGUCAGUGGCCGGAAUACGGCGCGGGAUGACGCCAAGGAACACGAUAAAGCUAAGGCACCGGUGAGCCGCUCGAGGGCUUGCGUCGGGUGCUGAGGCCAAUGAAAAAAAAUAUGACUCUCGGCAACGGAUAUCUCGGCUCUCGCAUCG
rnacentral:rRNA from 1 species